UAUGGCCAUAUCACAUCGAAAGACCGGUUCUGGUUCGAUCACCGAAAUUAUGCAAUGUUGAGCAUAGUCAAUACUCAGAUGGGUGACCACUGGGGAAUGAUAUGUGCCGUAAG